rfam:Dacryopinax sp. DJM-731 SS1 chromosome Tnknown DACRYscaffold_4, whole genome shotgun sequence.
GGUUGUGUCGUCCAGAGGUUAAGACGUGGGAUUUUGAUAACCCGUCUCCUGGGUUACCACCCAGGACAGCGGCCCGAAGCAUUCCCACAACCUGGGUUCGAAUCCCAGCACGACCU